AUUGAACGCUGGCGGCAUGCCUUACACAUGCAAGUCGAACGGCAACACGGGAGUAAUCCUGGUGGCGAGUGGCGAACGGGUGAGUAAUGUAUCGGAACGUGCCCAAUCGUGGGGGAUAACGCAGCGAAAGCUGUGCUAAUACCGCAUACGAUCUAUGGAUGAAAGCGGGGGAUCGCAAGACCUCGCGCGAUUGGAGCGGCCGAUAUCAGAUUAGCUAGUUGGUGGGGUAAAAGCUUACCAAGGCGACGAUCUGUAGCUGGUCUGAGAGGACGACCAGACACACUGGAACUGAGACACGGUCCAGACUCCUACGGGAGGCAGCAGUGGGGAAUUUUGGACAAUGGGCGCAAGCCUGAUCCAGCAAUGCCGCGUGCAGGAUGAAGGCCUUCGGGUUGUAAACUGCUUUUGUACGGAGCGAAAAGGCUCUCUCUAAUACAGGGGGCUCAUGACGGUACCGUAAGAAUAAGCACCGGCUAACUACGUGCCAGCCGCCGCGGUAA
rnacentral:rRNA from 1 species